GCCGUAAACGAUGAGUGCUAAGUGUUAGAGGGUUUCCGCCCUUUAGUGCUGCAGCUAACGCAUUAAGCACUCCGCCUGGGGAGUACGGUCGCAAGACUGAAACUCAAAGGAAUUGACGGGGGCCCGCACAAGCGGUGGAGCAUGUGGUUUAAUUCGAAGCAACGCGAAGAACCUUACCAGGUCUUGACAUCCUCUGCCACCUCUAGAGAUAGAGCGUUCCCCUUCGGGGGACAGAGUGACAGGUGGUGCAUGGUUGUCGUCAGCUCGUGUCGUGAGAUGUUGGGUUAAGUCCCGCAACGAGCGCAACCCUUGUUCUUAGUUGCCAGCAUUCAGUUGGGCACUCUAAGGAGACUG
rnacentral:rRNA from 2 species